rnacentral:rRNA from 1 species
UACAGAGGUCCCAAGCGUUGUCCGGAAUUAUUGGGCGUAAAGAGCGCGUAGGCGGUCCGAUAAGUCGGCUGUGAAAGUCCAGGGCUCAACCCUGGAAAGCCGGCCCGAUACUGUCGGACUAGAGUCCGGAAGAGGCAAGUGGAAUCCCGGUGUAGCGGUGAAAUGCGCAGAUAUCGGGAGGAACACCAAUUGCGAAGGCAGCUUGCUGGGACGGUACUGACGCUGAGGCGCGAAAGCGUGGGGAGCGAACAGG